UGGGGAAUUUUGGACAAUGGGCGAAAGCCUGAUCCAGCAAUGCCGCGUGUGUGAAGAAGGCCUUCGGGUUGUAAAGCACUUUUGUCCGGAAAGAAAUCCUUGGCUCUAAUACAGUCGGGGGAUGACGGUACCGGAAGAAUAAGCACCGGCUAACUACGUGCCAGCAGCCGCGGUAAUACGUAGGGUGUAAGCGUUAAUCGGAAUUACUGGGCGUAAAGCGUGCGCAGGCGGUUUGCUAAGACCGAUGUGAAAUCCCCGGGCUCAACCUGGGAACUGCAUUGGUGACUGGCAGGCUAGAGUAUGGCAGAGGGGGGUAGAAUUCCACGUGUAGCAGUGAAAUGCGUAGAGAUGUGGAGGAAUACCGAUGGCGAAGGCAGCCCCCUGGGCCAAUACUGACGCUCAUGCACGAAAGCGUGGGGAGCAAACAGGAUUAGAUACCCUGGUAGUCCACGCCCUAAACGAUGUCAACUAGUUGUUGGGGAUUCAUUUCCUUAGUAACGUAGCUAACGCGUGAAGUUGACCGCCUGGGGAGUACGGUCGCAAGAUUAAAACUUAAAGGAAUUGACGGGGUCAUAGCUGUUUCCU
rnacentral:rRNA from 1 species